GAUGAACGCUGGCGGCGUGCCUAAUACAUGCAAGUCGAGCGAACAGACGAGGAGCUUGCUCCUCUGACGUUAGCGGCGGACGGGUGAGUAACACGUGGAUAACCUACCUAUAAGACUGGGAUAACUUCGGGAAACCGGAGCUAAUACCGGAUAAUAUAUUGAACCGCAUGGUUCAAUAGUGAAAGACGGUUUUGCUGUCACUUAUAGAUGGAUCCGCGCCGCAUUAGCUAGUUGGUAAGGUAACGGCUUACCAAGGCAACGAUGCCUAGCCGACCUGAGAGGGUGAUCGGCCACACUGGAACUGAGACACGGUCCAGACUCCUACGGGAGGCAGCAGUAGGGAAUCUUCCGCAAUGGGCGAAAGCCUGACGGAGCAACGCCGCGUGAGUGAUGAAGGUCUUCGGAUCGUAAAACUCUGUUAUUAGGGAAGAACAAAUGUGUAAGUAACUAUGCACGUCUUGACGGUACCUAAUCAGAAAGCCACGGCUAACUACGU
rnacentral:rRNA from 1 species